rnacentral:rRNA from 1 species
CUGCCAGUAGUCAUACGCUCGUCUCAAAGAUUAACCCAUGCAUGUGUAAGUAUAAAUAAUUCUACUUUGAAACUGCGAAUGGCUCAUUAUAUCAGUUAUAGUUUAUUAGAAAUAGUGUACUACUUGGAUAACCGUAGUAAUUCUAGGGCUAAUACAUGAGUAAAUCCUCGACUUUUGAAGAGGUGUGUUUAUUAGUAUGAAAACCAUAUGCUUUUGCAUGAUAGUGAGUAAUAAUAACCUUUCAUAUCGCCUGUUUUAAAUAGCGAUAGUUCUUUCAAGUUUCUGCCCUAUCAGCUUUCGAUGGUAGUGUAUUGGACUACCAUGGCAGUAACGGGUAACGAAGAAUUUGGGUUCGAUUUCGGAGAGGGAGCCUGAGAGAUGGCUACCACAUCCAAGGAAGGCAGCAGGCGCGUAAAUUACCCAAUCCUGACAUAGGGAGGUAGUGACAAUAAAUCACAAUGCGGGACUAUUUAGUUUUGCAAUUGGAUUGAGAACAAUGUACAAGAGUUAUCGAUAAACAAUUGGAGGGCAAGUCUGGUGCCAGCAGCCGCGGUA